AUACGGUCAUAUCACGUUGAAACACUGCUUCAGGUACGAACACCGAAGUUAAGUAACAUUGGGCCUGGUCAGUAUCUGGAUGGGUGACCGCUUUGGAACUCCAGGUGCUGUAA